GAGUAACCUGCCCUGGGGCUGGGGAUAACUAUUCGAAAGGAUAGCUAAUACCGAAUACGUCCGCGAUGUCAUUAAGGCGACGCGGAGAAAGGGGGCUUCGGCUCCCACCCCUGGAUGGGCUCGCGGCCCAUUAGCUAGUUGGUGAGGUAAUGGCUCACCAAGGCCGAGAUGGGUAGCUGGUCUGAGAGGAUGAUCAGCCACACUGGGACUGAGAUACGGCCCAG
rnacentral:rRNA from 1 species